rnacentral:lncRNA from 1 species
CCUGCUUAGGUGGAAAUGAAGUGCGGGGAGAUGGGGAGGGGUUGAUGGUGCAUAGCGACGAAGAGGGAGGCAUGUGAAGAGGUUAGAGGGUUAGAGAGUGGAAGGGGUGGAUAGGAGAAGCACAUAAGGGUGGACGCUGCUAAUCUAGAUUUUAGUGGUUGUGGAGUCUCCUCUUGCCUGCACUCGUGCGGUCAAAUCCAACCUGCUCAGGUGGCAGCAAAGUGAGGGGAGAUGGGGAGGGGCCGACAUUGCGUAGGGACGAAGAGGGAGGCACGUGAAAGAGACCGGGCAAGGGAGAGGAAGAUGGCAGAUGGGAGAAGCACAUGAUGGUGGGUGCUGCUAAUCUAGAUUUUGCCUCUUCUCGCCUUUGCUGACUACCACUGCCUUCUCAACAUCGUCGUUGCUGACAAUAUUCUCAUGGGGCUCACGUCUGCUGACCAGAUCUACAAUGCCAACGCACCCUCACCUUGUUGGACCCUAACGUGGCGCUGAUUUUGGCCAUAUGCUCAUCUCCAUCAACUUUAAGGGAGAGAUAGGGGUAGACUAGUAGGAUAUGAAGAAACGACUAAUCAUAUUGUCAUGACCUUGGGUCACUGACAAAUUGGGGAUAGGCGGGAAAGUACAAUUUUCCCUUCCUAUCCUAAAAAAUGAGAUGAGCUCGAAGAGUAAAAUCCCAUGUAUCGUAUGGUAUUAUGAUAUCUCUCAUCUCGUAUUUGAUUACAAGAUUAGGACCGGCUUAUAGCCUUUGGAGGUACAUGUGAGAUUAUAAUCAUACCCCUAAGAGUACAUAAGAAGUUACUAUAAUACCCCUAUAAAGUUAGAAAUUCUAAGGGUAUGGUUGUACAUUUGUAUGGUCCUGAAAUAUCUGGCGCCAGCUUGCAAGAGUGUUGGAGUGGUCCCCGCAGUAUCUUCUUGGGGAAUAUUCCUUGCUCAACGACAUAACCUUCAGGCUUUAUCUGCCCUGGUCGAAUGGUAUUUCCCUCUUGUGGUAGGCUAGAAUACUCUUUUCCAGACUGGACUUCUUGCCGCAUUCACUGGUAUUCUAGUAUUUACCUGCUACAUUAGGUCGAUCGAGAAGUAUUUGCCGCGAGUAAAAACCUCUUUGGCUCUUUGCUAGGUGAGUGAGCAUGUUUCGGUCCAAUAAGGGGAUGGUGUUUGCCUCCUGCUACAACACAUAUCAUGAGUUUAUGUGGGUCCCAUUAGAUAUUUUUAUUUUUUCCGUGAUUGCUAUGUUGGCGCCACAUAGGCUGAAACAAAUGUCCUUUCAAUUCUAAUUGUAAUGCCUCGUAGACAUCACAUAGGAUGAAACCAUUGUCCAAACCGCUCAGAGAGGUAAAACAAACCGGUUUUAAUAAUUGAGGGAGUCUCGGCUGAGGAUGCAAAAUCAGACUGGCUAUAGUCGAGGAAGGCAAAAUAAUUUUUUUUCCUACAAAAAAGUGGGCCAAACACAUACUUUAGACCCAAUCAACUAGAGGCCUAAGCCCAAUCUGGUUCUCAUGGGCUGGAUCAAAUGCACUGCAUCAGGACGCGUUCCCACUGCAGGGUGCAAACACAUGCUCCAUGCUUGCAUGCAGAGAGGACGAGCGUUACUACCAGCUGGAGCUAGGAAACGUACGAAUUGAAGCUGGCAAAUUCCACGUGAAAUUUAAUUAGCUCGAAUGCUACCGUUGCUGAUCAGUGAUCUUUUCGCGAAUUAUUGAUUCUAAUUAUGUGUUUUUGGCAUUUCUUUUUUUUCAAGUUGAAGAUUUACGGCGUGGUUUACAGGAAACUAAUUAAUUAUGCUUAGCUAAGUUGCGAGGUGUCCAAAGGAGGCAGGUAAUUAGUAACGCGCCUGUGCCCUUAAACAGGUAAGCUAGCAGAAUAAAUACCCCCCAUUUCUGGGUUAAUUAGCUUGCAUCCUCAAAUUUGAAAACCAAAGAUGCUUCAAGCUGAUCUUGCUCUCAACAAGUCUCGAUUCAUCCGAGGAGAGAUCACGAACUCGAUCGACGGUGGUAUGUAACUUUCUGAAAUUCUUUUGUCUAGGUUAGAUUAGCCAGAGCUAGCUUUCAGAUCAUAUAGUUUUUACUAGAUCUCUAUAACUGCAAAGAUUAAGUCUGUUCCAAGAUCUGUUUGUUCCAUGGAGUCUUGAGUUGAUUUCAGGAUUUGUCUCAACCUUUUGGCAGGUUAAUUAUAUUAGCGGUAGAGCUAACCUUCAUAUCAUAUGGUUUUUACUAGAUCUAUAGCUGCAAAGAUUAUCUGUUCCAUGGAGUCUUGAGUUGAUUUCAUGGAUUAAUUUGUCUCAAACUUUUGGUAGGUUAUAUUAGCGCUAGAGCUAACCUUCAUUUAUUUGUUCCAAGGUCUAUUUUCAUAUAGUCUUGAGUCACUGCUGGAGAAAGGGGCUUUACUUCCAGUUAAAGUUAUGCAACCGAGGACUAUAAAUCCGAGACUAAAAGUAGACAUCUUUAGUCCCGGUUAAAAUAACCGGGACAAAAGAUAGAUCUUAGUCCCGGUUGUUAUCAUCAACCGGAACUAAUGUUUUUUUUUCUUUUUUUUCUUUUUUCUACUGCUUAGCACCAGGAAUCAUUCAUAAAAUCAUUAACAAAUCAUUCGAGCACCACAAAUCAUUCACAAAAUCCCUAUAAAUACAACAAGCUGCAUUUUCUCUGUUUACCAAAUACAUCACAAAUCUCACAAAAUCACAAAAACAUUUCCAAAAUCUACAACAAAAUUACACAAAUCAUCCACACAUCGCACAUCGCACAAAUCAGAAAAUCAUCCACAUCGCACAGAUCGGGGCGCACAGAAAAUCAUCCACAUCCACACAGUGCGCCGGUCGUCCGCCGCCUCGCCGCCCGCCCGCCCGCGUUGCCGCCUCAGGCUCCGCCGUCACCCGCCGCCUCGCCGGCCUCACCGGCUGCCCGCCCGCCCGCCCACGUUGCCGCCUCGGGCUCUGCCGCCGCCCGGGGAGCGCCACCGCCCGCCGCCUCGCCGGCCGCCCGGAUCUGGGAGGGGGCUCGACCGCCCGCCCGGUCGCCCGCCGCUCCGGUCUGGGAGCGGGCUCGGCUGCCCGUGGCCGCCGCCGCCGGUGGGAGGGGCGAGGGGAGGGGAGGAAGGGGAUGGGGAGGAGAGGGGAGCGCCCAGGGGAGGAGGGCAGGAGGAGGAGGAGGAGGAGGAGGAGAGGGCUGGGAGUGAGAGGAGGAAAGGAAGAGAAGAUAAGAAGAGAAAGAAGAUAAGGUAGAGGGAGAAGAGAUAAGAGAUAGAUUUUUUUCUUAGUACCGGGCGUCUUUCCUCACGCGCUUGAUUUUUCUAAGUCCCUCUCGCGCGCGCUUUUUUUUCGAUCUUUUCUCCUGUUGAUAUAAACAACCGGGAUUAAAUAUCUAAUCUUUAGUUCCGGUUGUUGACAUCAACCGGGACUAAAGAUAAUAGGGUCCCUGCCACGUCUUGAUAUUGAAUGAACCGGGACUAAAGAUGAUUACCAAUCGGGACUAAAAAUCAUCGAAGUUUUAAACUGGGACGAAAAAUGAUCUUUAGUCCCGGUUUGUUCCUAUUCAAACCGGGACUAUUGUGGUUUUGUGCCAACCCAGUAAAGAUGGUUUCUCCAUUAGUGAGUUGAUUUCAGGAUUUGUCUCAAACCUUUUGUUCGGUGUAAAUCAGUCGAUCUUUCAUUGCUUGGAAACGUGUACAGAUCUCAUAUAUAUAGUCCUGACCUGUUUUUUUUUUGUUUCUAUCCAUUUCUUUGUUGAUUUGAAUGGUAGAUUCAUCUUCUUGUUUAGCUCGUUGUCUAGAUCUGUUAGAAGCAGUACGGGCUAUUUUGUAGGAGUACUACUCUCAGUCGCCAGUAGAUCUGUAUAUAUGUAGGGAGCAUGUAGGAUCUGUGAAUGAACUGUUUAAUAUAUUAGGUCUGGGAAAGAACAGAAAGGAUAUGCCAAUCCAUCCAGGGUUUCUAUUAUCUUUCAUACGUAAUACAACCCCGUUUUAAAAUAUAACUAUCUAUUCCCUACCAUCUCACAACUAAUCACAAUCGUUAUCCAUUUAAUUUCUUCACCUACUUUCUCUUCUCAACCAAUUAUAAUUUUUUUUAAAAUUAUUUUCACAUACUUUCUUAAUACUCGUGUCUAUAAAAAAUACUUACAUUUUAGGACGUAGGUACCGUAGUAGCUAGCUAGGACAGAGCGAAUUAAUGAAAUACUGUGUCUUUAAUUAGCAUACAGUUUGCGUUUUUACUAAUUUGUGUGUCACACACACACACAUUUUUAUUACAGUUUAUGUUUCCACUUUGUGUACGUAACACACACACACACACACGGACACACUCUGUGUGCAUAUAUAUAGAUACACCUAGCUAGCUCUCUCUGGUUCAGUCCACAUACAGAUAUAUGUAAGCUUUUAUUUCAUAACAGCGAAUUUUAAUAUAUAUGUCUGGCAUGGUUUAUCUAAAUUUUUACCCUUAGCAAUUAUGAUAUAUAUAUGUGGCACAUCUAUUGCCUGAAUUUGGUGCCUAUACACAUCAUAUUUUCAUCAUUGUUUACACUGAAUGGGAACAAAAUGAUUUUUCAGAUGGCAUCAAUGAAGCAAGAGAAGGAUGCUAGAAUUAUAGUUCUAGCAUUAGCGGCACCUGUAACUAAAUUCAAGCCUCCCCAAACGAGAAAAAGGAAUAAAGCUUCUUCAUCCAAUCAUGCCAAAUCAAAAAGGGCAUCGACUGAUGGACCUUCAGGUAUGUGAUCAUGAAUCUUUGUGAUUGAAUGUUUCAUCCUUGCAAAAAACAAAAAGGGUAAAAAAGAAAAAAAAAGAGAGUCCAUAUAUAUUGCCAGUAGUUUUCAUAAAACAAAAACUAUUUUUUUUUCUUUUUUUACCCUUUUUUUAACAGUAUAGAUAGUGAAAACUGAAAACUACUAAUUAAGUGGUACAAUACUUUUUCUAGGUAUCAUCAAGCUGAAGGAAUCAACAACAUUUGCUCAUGGCAAAGACCAAAUUAUGGAGGAAGCAACUGGUAAUUUGUAAAUUAUAAACUAAUUGUGAUUGAGAUAUUAGGAAGUAAAUGAAGUUGAAUAAUAACCAAAGUCUUCCAUAAAAAAACUGUUAUCUUUCUUUGGCUUUUUGCAGACUUUGUGCACCAAAUUGGCACUGUGAACAACAUACAACAAAACCAGGAGGAGCCAGCAGGUGAACAAUUGUAACUCAUCCAUGCAGAUUAAUUUGUACUCCCUCCGUUUCACAAUGUAAGUCAUUCUAGCAUUUCCAAUAUUCAUAUUGAUGUUAAUGAAUCUAUACAUAUCAAUAUGAAUAUUGGAAAUGCUAGAAUGACUUACAUUGUGAAACGGAGGAAGUAGCAUUUUAGCAAAUGCGGGAAGUUUUAAAUAACAAAGUGGCAUAUAUAUAUAUAUAUAUAUAUAUAUAUAUAUAUAUAUAUAUAUAUAUAUAUAUAUAUAUAUAAUGUUUCUAUAGGGUUAAAUCAACAGCAGCCUGCUUACCUAGGCCUUGCACAUGGUGGACCACAAAUUCCACUGGAAGCAGCAGGUACAUCUAUUCUUAGAAAUAUGCUCCAAACAACAGUAUGUUGGAUUAAAUAAUUUAAUAUAUAGAAACUGAAUUUUUCUGCUAAGAUAAUUUUCUGUAGAUAUAGGUCUCACUCUGCAACAAAAAAUAUGAAUCAGUCACAGAAAAAUGCAGAGAAAUCAAUAAGUACAGUUUUUUUUAACAGUAUAUAUAGUGAAAAUUGAAAACUAGUAAUUAAGUGGUAUAAUAUUUUUCCUAGGUAUCACCAUGCUGCAGGAAUCAACCACUGCAAAUGGCAUAGCUCAAAUUAUGGAGGAAGAAACUGGUAAUUUGUAAAAUUAUAAACUAGUAGUAAUUCUGAUUGAGAGAUAUAAGAAAGUAAAUGAAGUUGAAUACUAGCUAGUCAAUAGUCUUCCAUUAAAAAACUAAUAAAUAGUCCAUGUGAAGUUUCUUUUCAUAUAACAUAUGCAUCUUUCUUUGGCUUUGUGCACCAAACAGACACUGAUGACAACGUACAACAAAACAAGGAGGAGCCAGCAGGUAAGCAAUUGUGUAACUCAUCCAUGCAUAUUUGGAGCAUUUAGCAAAUGCAGUUUGAAAUAAGAAAGAUGUUUAUAUAAUGUUUCUCCAGGGUUAAAUCAGCAGCAGCCUGACCUAGGCCUUGCAGAUGUACCACAAAUUCCAGAGGAAGCAGCUCCAGGUACUUUAAUAUGUGUUAGUUUCCUCUUGUCUCCCGACACGGAAAACCAAGCACGCAAUUAUAGUGAGAUUAAUUAAGUAUUAAUCUAAAAUAUUUGAAAAAUAGAUUAAUAUAAUUUUUUAAAGCAACUUUCAUAUAGAAAAUUUUUGCAAAAAAUACACCGUUUAGCAGUUUGAAAAGCGUGCGUGGAAAUCGAGGGAAGUGAGUUGGGAAAAGGGAGAAAAGAACACAGCCUAUUUGUUUAAAGAUGAAGCCAUUUAACUUGUUAGGCAUAGAUGAUACUUCCUCCGUUUCACAAUGUAAGACUUUCAAGCAUUGCCUACAUUCAUUUAGAUGUUAAUGAAUCUAGAUAUGUGUGUGUAUAUAUAUAUAUAUAUAUGUUUAGAUUCAUUAACAUCUAUAUGUAUGUGAGCAAUGCUAGAAAGUCUUACGUUGUGAAAUGGAGGGAGUAUCAUACAUGAUUAUUUGCUUCCACACUUUCCAUGUACUUUUGAAUUUUGAUGGUUAUGAUAGUUAAUUAAAACUAACAUCUUAGGAAAAUGUUCUCUACAUUUUUCAGUAACAUUAUUUUUUUUCAUCACGAAUAUCCCCAAUCAAUUGUAUGCACGUUUAUAUAUGUCAUGUUUAUUAAUAAGUUUUGUCAAAUAUAUAGGUCCAGCUGAUCCUAAUGAAGAUGUAAACGAUGUGUUUGAGUUCGCCCUCAACAACAAUGUAUUGGAUCUGUAAUAGCUCAACAAUAAUGCUCCAGACCUAUCCAGCCGCGCGAACAAAUAUGAACUAUUUUUUAAGCAACAAUUUUAGUGCAUGGAGGACACAAUAUGUCUAGAGAAACAAUGUUGAACUUUGCCUGUCUGGAUGCAUAAAUCUCUGUUAUCCGAAGAAAUUGUGCAUGUUAAUUACCUCUUGAAACUUGUUAUAGUUGAACUCUGUUUGCAGACGAGAGUUUGGAUUAAUUUAUUAUGUUCCUGCUGGCUAUCAUUUUGUAAGGGUACUGCCAUGGAUAUUCCAAUAAGUAUGUUAAUUGGCUAGCUACUACUACUAGGAAGAUUAAUUUCAUAGAUUCAUAGGUGCCUUUCAUGUCAUUUCCAUGAUUGUAAGUAAAUUCAUUGGCACAUAACUGCAUGUACUCAGCUAAUAAGGCAGAAUAAUAUAAUUUGUCAUCCCGAACUCCUCAGCAUACUCAUCAUAUGUUACUGUCCAUUAGAACAUGUCUCACGAUUUUGAUGUUCUCUGUUGCAAAAUAAUAAGUUAGAAUAUAAUUAAUACAUGGCACAACUACUUGUCAAUCGUGAUGAUGAAUAAGUCCCGGAGAGAUUAGCUAGUAGAGAUCGGACAAAGAAAGUUGGAGAAUGCAGUAGUUAGUAGGCGGCCGAUCGAUCCGGUGAGCUUUUGAAAUGAGGCCAAUGUUACAUCGAACGUUCGAACACCUGCAUGAAGUAUUAAAUAUAGGCUAAACAAAUAACUAAUUGCACAGAUUGCGACUAAUUUGCGAGACGAAUUUUUUAAGCCUAAUUGCUUCAUGAUUUGACAAUGUGGUGCUACAGUAAACAUUUACUAAUGACGGAUUAAUUAGGAUUAAUAAAUUCGUCUCGCGGUUUAUUAACGGAUUCUGUAAUUAGUUUUUUUAUUAGUGGCCGAACACCCCAUGCAACACCCUAUAUAAUACCCGAUGUGACACACCUAAAUUUUACAUCCCUAAUGUAUAACACCGUUAAUAUUUUUUGACCAUUCGUCCUAUUUAAAUAUUUUAAACAUACUAGAUAUAAGUACUCAUGUUUAAAGAAUUUUUAGUGAUAAAUCAAAUCACAACCAAAUAAGUGAUAGUUAUAUAAACUUUUUUAAUAAGAUAAAUGAUCCAACUUAUCAAAUCAAUAACAUUAUAUAUUUAAACGAUAAAGGUAGUAAUUAAUUAGUCGGCCACGCCCUGUUUCUGGGAGACAACAUGAGAAGACAACACUGCUGGAGAAUGCAUCUACACUCCCGGUUCGCAACCCCUUUAAUCCCGGGUAUGCAACCGGGACCACGAAUUCGGAACUAAAAUGCUCAUCUUUAGUCCCGGUUGAAACAACCGGGACUAAAGAGGUAGUGUCACGUGGCCGGUGCUACCAUCUUUAGUCUCGGUUGGUGUUACCAACCGAGACUAAAGUUUUUUUAUUGUUCUUUGCUGUUUGCAUAUUGAUUUCUAACCAAACUCAACAAUAAAAUCAUCCACAUUCACAUAAACAUUACAAAAUUAUCCAUAAAUUCACAGAUCGAAUUAACAUCACAAAUUUACAGAUCCAAACACAUCACAUUGCCAGGCCACCGCUGCCACUGCCCCCGCGCGGGCCGCCGAUGCCACCUCCACGCCCACGCCAGGCCAUCAUCGCUGCACUAGGCCGCCGCCCCCGUGCCAGGCCGCCGCCGCCCCCGUGCCGCGCCAGGCCGCCGCUUCGCUACUGCUUCUGCAAGGAAUGAGAGAGUGGAUAAGAGCAAGAAAAUAGGAGAGGAUAAGAGAGAGAGGAGAGGGGGAGAGGAGGAAGAUGAGGAGAAAGACUUUGAGAUAGAGGAUUUGAGGAUAAGUCCGAGGGACUAUAUACGAUGGGUUGAAUUUUAGUCCUGAUUGGUAAUAUUAACCGGGACUAAAAGUAGUAAGGGGCCACACGCUUUUUUAACCGGGACUAAAAAUGUUCUUUAGUCCCGGUUUCAAUUGGAAGCGGGACUAAUGUGGUUUUUGGCGAAGCAAGGUGUGAAUCAAUCCACUAGCCCAUCCAAUUAAAUGUAGUAUAGUAUUCAUCAAGACCAGUUUGGAGGAGAUGAUCCAGUCGCUAGCUCAGCAUCUUAUUAUUGACCACUUCAGAAUCAUCAAGUGUCACACGAUAUACAUAUGCAGUAAUGCAAGCAUUCCUUCCAUGGCCAAAGCAUUAGCUCCAUCUAGAUCUGCACAACAAGCAUCUGACAACUACUCAGUACAACUUCUGCAGAUUCUUUAGAUCAGUAGCAAAAUUAGUUCAAUCAACCCUUAAGAUGUCCUCCUCCAACUCCUUUUAGAACAUAUCGCUUUUAUCGCUUUGGUCGCUUCUCAGGGUUUUUUUUUGAACUUUUAAAAUUUUUAAUUUAGAAACAAACCCUUUUAAAACUUAUUUUCAAGUCCGAACCUUUUGGUUACGCCAGCCGGACUGACGUGGCAAAACAACACUGUUAUGCCGAUCUGGCUGGCAUGACAAUAUUAUUUGACCACACCACCCUCGCUGGCAUAACAGGAUAAAACUGUCACGCCGAUUGUGUGUAGUGUGUCAGUGUUGUUUUGCCACGCUAGGUAAGCGGGUGUGGCCAAAAGGUUCUGAUUUGAAAAAUAAGUUUUGGAAGGGUUUAUUUUUAAAAUUAAAAAAGGUUGAAAAAAAAAUCCUUCUCAGGCCAUGACUUUCGAUCCUCGCCCUCUCUAGGAUUUUUGUGUUACCAACAAGGUCUCGUUGGAACCCGAUGGGCCUCCACGCCGGGUCCGUCUUUGAGUAGGAGUACCGGAAGUUGAACGGGAGGUCGGAGCGCACCAGCUCCGGUUGCUUGAUACUGCCGCCCUGGUUCUUCUUCUUCGUCGCAUGUGCAGGCUUAGAGGCAGGUCGAGGCGGGCACUCCGUGACCCGUGUGAACGGAGGGUCAUCGUCGGGAUCGGAGAAGGACGGUGCUCGGUGGUAGAGGCGGCGGGCGAGGGCUUUGAAUGGUGGUUUUAUCCUAUGCGGUUCAUACGUGGCAUUAUUAUACAAAUAAAAGUGAUAGUGAUUUCAUCAUACGUAAUAUGUCUAUGUAGCAUUACAAUAACAGAGAAAAUAAAAACCUUAAUGGGAUCCACUUGACAGUAAGUCGCCACUCCGCCAUCCUCAUCUUCUUUCUCCAACUCCCCUUAUCCUCUCUCUGCCAUAUGUUCUGGUCUUCCCUCUCUCUCCUUCAUUUAAACAACAUAGUUGAGGGGCAACGAUGUGUCUUUAUAAAUGUGCAUGCGAGUGGUGGUAGAUGAAGAGGCGCCAUUGUCGGAUCAUGGUGCCGCGAAGUGGGGGAGAGCGGGAGGGAGGCGAGCAUCGUAGAGUGGAGCUUGAGGAGCUGUGGGGCGGCACUUGUGGGGUUCAAGCUCUAGAUUGAGUGGCCUGCCAAUGGAGACGGUCUAGAGGUAGCGACGGUAAAACCAUGACCUGGGCAGUGCAAGCGGGUCGCCUUGACACCGUCUCGUCUACGGCUGUUAUCAUUGGGGGCUCAUCCAUUCCAUGCCCAUGUAGUUAGGUUUGGCCUGCUCGGGUGGUGGCGAGGCGAGGGAAAAUGGGUAGGGGCCGACAGUGCAUAGGAAUGGACAGGCAGGCAGAUAGAGAGAGAGAGAGAGGGGAUAGGGCAAGUGAGAGGAAGGGGUUAGAGGAGCACAUGAUGGAGGGCACUAUUGUAGAUUCUAGUCUCUUCUCUUCAUUGACUUUGCCUCGCCUUCGCCGACCACUGGUUGUUCAACACCUGCCGUUUGCUCAAUAUCUGCCUCUCUUUGCACACAUGCCAGCACCUGCCUAGCUCGCCUUUGCCGACUGCCGCCGCUGCUCGCUCAACAACUUUGUCGCCUAUGGCAUCUUCAUGGGGGCUCGUAUCCACUGACCAGAUAUGUGACACCAACACCCUCGUCUCCACGAACCCUGAUGCGCUGCUUGACUCUAGUCAAACGCUGGUCUACUUCAACUUUGAGGAAGAGAUUGGGGAGAGAGGGGUUAGACUAGUAUAAGAGGAAGAAGAGGCUAUGCCACUUACCUGUAGGAAGAACAUUGUUUUUUCUCAUGUACUUGUAAUGCCACAUUGGCACCCCACAUGAUGAAACCAAUGUCCUUUCUGAUUGUAAUGUCAUAUAAACAUCAUAUAGGAUGAAACCACCGUCUAAACCGCCCAAAGAACGAACCACUUUUAAUAGUUGACUGGUUUUCACUAGUACAACAACGAUUUUUCCGUGCGGUCGAAAUUUAAUUUUGCGUGCGAAUCUUCCGCCCGUCUAGAACGAAGCGUCACCCGCACACGAAAAUUGGUUUUUCGCGUGCGCCGCACGAGAAAAAUAAAAAAAAUCAAAACAAAAAAAAGAAAAUCAAAAUCCUAACCCUAAUCCAGCCACCGCCGUCCUAGCCGAGGCCCACCGUCGUUGAUGGAUCCAGACACCGAGACCGUUGUCGCCACCGCCGUCGACGUCAUCGCCGCCGCCCUGCUCGAGGCCCGCCACCGUCGUCGUCGCCACCCUGCCCGAGGCCCGUCACCGUCGUCCCCACGGUGGCUGGCAACGGAUCCGCCCCGUCGCCACCACCCUAGCCAAUGCCGCCGCCGCACUCGCCGAUGCCGCCGCCACCAUCGAUGCCUCCGCCGCUCUCGCUGAUGUCGCCCUCGCCGACACCGCUGCCACCGCCGCCCUAGCUGAGGUGGCCGCCGUUGCUGGGAGGUGGGUAGAGGGGGAGUGGGAGAGGGAGACGGUAGAGGGGAGAUAGAGAGAUAAAGUGAGAGGGAGAGGAGAUAAAGUGGGUGGAGGAGUGAGCAGUGGGAGACAGAGAGGGAGUGGAGGCGCGAAGGCCGACGCGGAAAUAAAGUGAGGAGUGGGAGGAGAUAGGAGGGGAGAUAAAGUGGUGUGGGCUAUUUUUGCGUGCGGGUCACUUAACAAACCCGUAAGCGAAAAUAAUCCUAUUGUCGCGUGCGGGUCUGUUAAGAGACCCGACUGAGAAAAUCGAUUUUUCCGUGCAAUCCUUUCAAGGAGCCGCACGUGAAAAUGGAUGAUGAUUUUUGCAGACGCGACCAGUUAUGGUCCGCACGAGAAAAUAAGAGCUCCUGUACAGGAAAAUCAUUUUUUUAAGUAGUGUUUACGAUUUAGGGAGCAAAAUCAGACCAGAAUAUAGUUGAGGUAGACAAGGAAUAAGUCCACUUUCCCUCCCUCAACUCUUGGCCUUAUAUGAAUAGCAUCCCUCAACCGCAAAACCGGGUAUAACUCAUCCCCCAACUCUGAAAACCGUUGCAAAUCAACUCCCCGGACGGUUUUGGAUGCAGUUUUGUCCUACGUGGCAAUUGGCUUGCUUAUGUGGCAGUUCACUUGCUAAGUCAUCUAGCGGGACCCACAUGUCAGCAGUCUCCACCUCAUCUCAUCUUCUCCCUCACCAUGAUUCCCUUCAAGAAACGGGAAAGGAAAAAAUCAAGAAGCGGAGGCGAGGCGAUAGAAUCGACCAGCAAGAUCAACGGCAAGACAAGUAGCACAUGGUGGUUGCCGAAUUCAGAGAAGACGCCGGCGAUCACGCGAAACAAGAAAGGGGAACAAACAGAACAAAUCAGAGACCACGAAAUCGUCGAAGAACACGAGCAAACAUCAAACAAGCUAGCGGAGUUCUUCUGGCGUGCGCACGACGCGGAGCGGGUGUCCGCCAUGCGCAGCUGCGGGCAAUGCCGCUGUCGUCCCCGUGCCGGAGCCUCUCCGUCCUCAUGCUGCAGCACAACCCGGUGCUCGGCGACAUCCCCAGUGGCUUCCUUCUCGGACGGCCGGUGAGCUAUUUCCUUGUGCGCGGACGGCCGGCGAGCUUCUCCCACGUGCGGACGGCCGGCAAGCUCCUCCCCCGCGCGCCGCCGGCCGGUGAGAUCCUCCCCGCGCGCGGACGGCCGGCGAGAUCCUCCCCCGCGUGCUGCCGGCCGACGAGAUCCUCCCCGCGCGAGGACGGCCGGCGAGAUCCUCCACACGCGCGGGCGGCCGACGACUUAGAGGGGCUGCCUCGUCCUCCACGACCCCCUCUCAGACGAUGCCCCGGCGCCCUCCCGCCUCCUCUGCGUGCUCGAGCCGGGCCGCUCCCUCACGCGCGCGGCGCGGCCAGCCGACGAGCUCGUCCCCCAUGCGCCGUUGUCGCCGCCCUGCUGAUAGAAGGUGAGAGGAGGAAGAUAUGAAAGAGAAAGAGGGGAAGAGAUGAGGGAGAAGAUGAGAUGAGGUGGAGACUGCUGACAUGUGGGUUCCGCUUGAUGACUCAGCAGGUCAACUGUCACAUAAGUAAGUCAAUUGCCACUUAGGAUAAAAGUGCCUCCAAAACUGCCCGGGGAGUUGAUUUGCAACGGUUUUCGAAGUUGGGGGAUGGGUUAUACCCAGUUUUGCGGUUGAGGAAUGCUAUUCAUACACGGCCAUGAGUUGAGGGAGGAAAAGUAGACUUAUUCCGGUUGACAAAAUAUAUAUUUUUCCAACAGAAAAUGGGCCAAACACACACUUUAGGUCCAAUUAGCUAAAGGCCGAAGCCCAAGUUGGUUCUCUUCAUUGGCCGGAUCAAAUGCAUUGCACCAGGACGCGUUCACAUGCUCCAUGCGUUUGCAUGCAUGCGUCCGGAGAGGACGAACGUUACUACCAGCUGGAGCUAGGAAACAAAAGCUGUUAAAUUCCACGUGAAAUUUAGCUCGAAUACUACCGCUGCUGAGUGAUCUUUUCUCGAAUUAUUCUAAUAUGUUUUGGACACUUUUUCAAAAGAUUUUUUUUUCUUCACGAACGAAUAAACGAUUUGUGCUUCGAUGUAUUAGAAGGAAGCCUAAGAAAUCCUACCAAACAACAAACUCCUAAAAUGAACAGGAAUGAGGGUGCUAUUUCAAAUGAUUUACCGCGUGGUUUUUACAGGAAAUUAAUUAAUUGCGCUUAGCUAGCUAUGGGCAUCCAAAGAAGGCAGGUAAUUAACAAGGCGUUUGUGCCCUCAAACAAGUAAGCAUAAAUACCCCCAUUUCUUGGUUUGCAUAUCGUCAAAUUCAAAAGCCAGAGAAGCUUUGAACCUCUUGCCCUCAAGAGAAGUCUCGAUUCAUCGGAGGAUCAGAAGAGACGAUGAAACGCGGCGGCCGCCAAGCAAGGGAGAUCCCUCGAUCUCCAGAGGUAUGCAACUUUUCUGAAAUUCUUUCGUUGUCUAGGUUAGAUUAGCUAGAGCUAAAUCUUCAUAUGGUUUCUAGUUUGUUUUACUAGAUCUAUAGCUGCAAAAGAUUAUUUGUUCCAAGAUCUAUUUCCAUGGGAGUCUUGAGAGAUUUCAUGGUUUGUCUCAACCUUUUGGUAGGGUACGUACGGUAUAAAUCGAUUGAUUUUUCAUUGUUUGGAGACGUACAGAUUCGUAUAUAUGCUACCCCUGUUCAUUUGCUGUUUUGCUUAUUAAUAUCUCCAUUUCUCUGUUGAUUUGAUCGAAUGGUAGAUUCAUCUUAGUAUCUAGUUCGUUGUGUAGAUCUAUUGGACGUUUUACGGGCUAUUUUCUACUCAGCAGAUCUGCAUAUAUAGGAGCUUGUAGGAUUUGUGAAUGAACAGAAGAAGGAUAUUCCUAUCCAUCUAGGGUUUUCUAUCUAGUAUCCUACAUAUAUACACCUAUAGCUAGGACAGAUAGAGAAGAAUGAAAUGCUAAACACACAAACACACACACACACACACAAAAUAGUUUGUGUUUUCACUAAUUUGUGUGUCACACAAACACACUCGCACACGGUUCAGUGCACAUAAAUACAAAUAGUCUUUUAUUUCAUAACAAUGAAUUUAAAUAUGGUUAAUAUGAUUUAUUACUUUUCACCCUUAGUUUAGUUCAGUAUCUUGGCUCGAAUUUUUUCUCUAUAUAUGCACAUUAUUAUAUUUUCAUCACACUAAUUGGUAAAAGAAAAAUGAUUUUCAGAUGGCAUCAUCAUCAUCAAUGAAGCAAGAGAAGGACAAUACGAUUAUUGUUCAAGCAUUAGCAGCACCUGGAAGUAAUUUCAGACCACCCCAAACGAGGAAACGGAAUAGAACUUCUUCAUCCAAUGGUGCGAAAUCAAAAGUGGCAUCGACCACUGGAUCUUCAGGUAUAUAUGUGAUGCAUGAAUCUGUGUGAUUGAGUUCUUGUGUGUGUGUGUGUCUAUAUAUAUAUAUAUAUGUAUGUAUAUAUAUAUAUAUGUAUAUAUCUGUGUAUAUAUAUGUAUAUGUAUAUAUAUGUAUAUAUAUGUAUAUAUAUAUAUGUAUAUAUAUAUAUAUAUAUAUAUAAAUUUUACUAUAUAUAUAUAUAUAUUAAUGCAAAGUUAUAAUAAUAAUAAUAAUCAAGGUCACAUAUCAAGUAAAAAAAACGUAAAGUGAAAACGAACAGACCUUGUAACACACACAUGUCCCAUUUUGAUUUACUUUCUUUGUUUAAACGUGAAGCUACUUAACUUGUUAGGGAUAGAUGAUAUCAUAUACAUGCAUGAUUAGUUGCUUUUCCACACUUUCCAUGUACUUUUGAUGGUUAUAAUAGUUGAUUGAAACUAACAUCGCAGGAAAAUGUUCUCUACAUUUUUCAGUAGCAUUAUUAUUUUUCCAUCAUGAAUAUCCCUCGUCAAUUGUAUGCACAUUUGUAUAUAUGUCAUAUUUAUUAAUAAGUUUUUUUUCACACAUAUAGGUCCAGCUAAUCCUGAAGAUAUGAACGAUGUAUUUGAGUUCGCCCUGAACAACAGUAUAUUGGAUCUGUAGUAGACUAGUAGCUCAACAACAAUGCUCUAGACCUGUCCAUCCAUUUGAAGCUACAAACAAACAUGAGCUAUUUUAUUAGCAACAAUUUUACUGUUUUAGUGCCUAGAGGACACAAGGUCUAGAGAAACAAUGUUGAACUUUGUCUAUCUCUGGAUCCAUAAGUCUGUUGUCUGAAGAAAUUAUGCAUGUUAAUUACUUUUUGAAACAUGCUCUAGUUUUUGUUAAAUGUGAAGAACUCUCUUAGCAGAUGAGGUUGGGUUAAUUUAUUGUGUUCCUGGUGGCUAUUAUUUUUUGAGGGUAUUAUAUAUCAUGGAUAUUCCAAUAAGUAUGUUGAGAUGAUCUGCAAGUUUCAUCACAUUUUACAUGGUGAUAUUUAAGCCGACCUAGCUAGUUUUUUCUCUCAGUAGCUUUUUGAAGGUUAAUUGGCUACUAGGAAGAUUUCAUAGAUUCAUAGAUGCCUUUCAUGUCAUUUUCGUCCUUGUCAGUAAAUCCACACAACUGCAUGUACUCAGCUAAUUGGGCUAGAAAUUUCUCAGCACACUCAUAUAUAUGCUACUCUCCCUUGAGAACAUCAUGUCUCACAAUUUUGAUGUUCUCUGUUGUAAUAAAAAAAAGUUAGAACAACGCAUUCUCUAUUGAAUUAAGGGUUAGAAUUAAUAUAAUACACAUGGUACAAUUACUUGUCAGAAGACUCAGAAGCUAUAUGUAUUCAUGGCCUGCUUGGACCAGAUAAAGAAAAGAGCAGUAAGAAAGGAGAACGUACGAGUAGUUAGGAGGCUGCCGAGAUCGAUCCAGUUAGGUUUUCAACUGAAUUAAUCGAAGUACGCUUGGCUUGAAACUGUCUUAGGCAGCUGCAGGUUGAAUUGUUAAUUAAGUGCAAUAUUAUUGUUGUUAUCAACUUAGUUCCUUUUCAAUUUGCCAUAUUUGGGAUGUGGCCGGAUACCUGGAUACCUGAAGACCAUUGAAAAAUUAAAAGUGCCAUAUGGAUCAAAGAUACGAAAGGGACUAGUAUACAUUACAUCUAUAUACUUACUUAAAAAAUAGGUAAGGCUUCCGAUCGUCCGUUUCGUCAGUCGUCGUCGUGUGAGUCCGAGUCUGUCUUUUUUUAAAAAAAAAAUCCCCGAGCAGAUCAGCCUCCCAACUCGGAACUAAAAUCCAAAUCAACAUCCCAAAUCGGAACUAAAAUCCAAAUCCUAACCCUAGCCGUCUCCUGGAGCCGCCCUCCUCGUGGCCGCCGUCGUCGUCAUCACCAUUGUCGCCGCCGUCGUCCGCCGUCGUCGGCAUCGCCGCCUUCCGCCGCGACCGGCUCCCGGCCGCGUCGCCACACCGGGGGAGGAGGAGCAGCAGCCGCUGAGCCCACAUGCGGUCGCCGUCGACGUGUCGGAACUCGAAACUAACAACUUGGAUCCGACGUAAAUUAAUGUAUCAAUCCCUGGAUCAGUAGAUAUUGAUACAUACAAUAUAAUUGGUUCUUCAUUGCAUACGUUAAAGUUUUACAAUAGUAAGGGUUUUACAAUAAUAGGUACUCACCUAACUAUUUAAUACAUAGCGGAAGUUCUAGUACAUUCUGACUAGGAAGAAGGUAUAACCUUUAGGGCCGGGUUUUCUAAAUUAUCGGGGUCAUCGUAGUAAUAGUCAUAAGGGUCCUCCUCUUGACCCAAAUCUGAAAAAGGGGUUAUAAGAGCAAGGAUGAGUAUUCGCAAUACUCAGCAAGUUAUCAUGGAAAUAUGUUAUGCAUUAAUAUAUAGUAGGGUUCUUUGCAAAAAGCAGUAAUAAAUAAUCUGGAAGAGUUAUAGCAAGAAUUUAUAAAACAUAUAGACUUUAGAUUUCUAACCAGGGUACCAUAUGAGUCCCGGUACUCAAUUCCAUGAGUACGGCUAUUCGAAUAGUUUCAAAAAUAUUCUACUGCAGCAGAUGUACGCUUUACCCGCAGUCCACGACUUGCUGAUAAUCAUCGGCUUUAGUCAUGGCACGGUAUUAGGUUAUUAACAAUUGUGGCAUCUGUUCCAUGAACUUAUAUCCUCAUAUGCUCUGAACGUAAUGUUACCAGGAGCAAGAGGAGUUCUGGCGUUCCUGAGGUAUUUAAGGGGAACUGAUCGUAUGACACCACGUCAUCUCGAUCAGGGUUUAGAAAUAUACCAUAAAUAUAAUUGAGCUCAACAAACCAAUUACCUGUACAUGGUAAUGGUAUAAAUUGCCCUUCGCGGCUAUAGUUGCCUCCUGCGCGAGGACUUAAAAAUAAGAACCACUUUACUGAGGUGCCAUAUUGCUAAUUAACAUAAUAACUAGGUCUGUCCCCAUUUUAGAAACUGCAGUCGUACCCGUUCGUUUGACAUAAGUACCUGGUAAAAACUAUAUCGAUCGAGACAGUACUAGCCACCCGAAAAUCAUCCAAAUCUUACGUACUGUCCCAAUCUAAGUAUAAGGUAUUUUAACCAGAUUGUAAACAAAAUAAGCAAUACUAAAUUGUCUGGGUUUCUAUGAUUGAUUUAUGCAUAGAAAAUAGAAUAUUGAAUAGAAGGCUAUAAAUAAAUAAUUUAUAAAAUAUAGGCUUAAAUGAUUAAAAGGUAUAUGGUAACUUGCCUUGCUCGAUGUCCUGAGAUUGAUCGAUAUUAUCUAUUGAGUCAGAAGAAUCCUCAAGACCUAGGGUUAGACAUAUAAGAUUCAAAUUCAAAAGGAGUUCAAAUAAAAUCCAAAAAUAAGAAAAAUGGAGAAAAUAAAAUAAAAUGCAAAAAUAGCAAAAAGGGGCUCAAAAGAUAGAGAAUGAUUUUAGAAGAAUAUUGGUCUAAGUUUCACUGGAAUUGGAUCUAUAUUUUAAAAGAUAUGGGCUUAUAAAGUUUGAAAAUUAAAUAAAAGUGAAAUGUUACUGUGUGCGGGUCCAGCCUGUCAGUCUCUCUCUCUCUCUUCUCUUCUUCUACCUCCGGCCAUUCCCCAAAUCGGGCCGGCGGUGCUAGGGUUGGUGAUUGCAGCGGCGAUGGAGGGGGAAAGUGGUUGCGGCCGAAGAGGGGAGGGAGCUAGGGUUCUUCGGCGACGGCGAGCGGCGGCAGAGGGAUUAAUUUGAUGCAUGGAUGGGCUAGUGGCUAGGGCAGCAGUGGCACGGUUAGGCCGUGAUGGUGAUCAAGAUGAUAUGAGUUAGACAUGGCUAGGGGAGGGGUUCUAGAGCAUCUACGAGGUACCUAGAUGGAUUCCGACAGCUUGCCAUCCUUUGGCAAGGCGCGGAGAAUAGUUGCUGAUAGGCAUCUCCAUUGGCGGCGGCCGUGCUCACGUCGGCAGCUCAGAGGGUGGAAUGAUAGUGAAAAAGGAUUGCUAAAAUGGAAUCUAGGUAAUAUGUAGAUGGUUGAAACGGAAGAACUCAUCGAGAUAUGUCGAGAUGAAGGAUUGUGGCCGGAAAAACUCCUCGGCGGUGAAGAACAGAGCAGCGCAGGGGCAGCGGUGCUCGGCUUGGUGCGGCGAGGUAAACCUCGACGCAGGGCUUUGGUUAGGGUCUAAUAUACUAGAACAUGGUUGAUAUAAGGUGUUCUAAGGGAUAUUUAGGGCAGAGGAUGGAUGGAGAGGUGUGGAGUCGAUCGUGCACAAGGUGUUCGACCGACGGGCAAUGGUGGUUGAUGAGAUGGAUUGGUGAGGCAGAGCUUCAGUGUUGUGGGGUUAUGGUUGCUGAUGAUCGAUGAUGGACAAGGAAGGGAUUGGGGUCCUAUUUAUAGGGCUAGAAGAAGUGGAUGAGCUCGGGCACCGUCAUCGCCAUGGAUGAGCUCGAUCUUUGGAUAGGGCUAGGGCGGCAGAGGCUGUGAGAGGGCGGCCAAGAUCAAUUUGAGUGGCGGGAGGCCACGUUUGAAUACUUACCGGCGAAGGAUUGGCUUGACCGCGUGCGAAUUCGGCUGGUGACGUGUUGGCGCCAAUCCAAGCGCGACGCGUGGCGGCGGCGAUGGUGAAAACGGCCGACUCGGGGGUGAAUGGUUUGAAUUGUGAGAGGGGAUACCACCGUCUAUCUUCAAUCCAACCGUGCGGCAAAAAUUGGCGCGAUUCACCCCGGGUAGAAUCAAAAUCGGACUCGGCGGCGGCUUUGGACGGGCGCGCACGGCGUCGAGCGGCGAUUUCUUGCGGCGGUCGUCGUUCCGGCUUUGUUGUCAUCAAGAUUGGUACGGCGAUGAUGGUUUGAGGGCGUCGAAUGGCUAGCGGCGCGCCAAGGCGAUCGGGCACGCGCGAUCGAUCCCGAGACCGACGCGCGACGGCUCGGCGCACGGUGAAGUCAGACGCUAGAGAGCGCGCAUAAAGGGGAGGAAGUAGCAAAGAGAUCCACGGUAUUUGAGUGGGAUGUGGUCCCCUAGGAUCAAUUCUAUACUUUGUGCAAGAUUGGAUAGGGAUUGGGCUGUGUUAGUUGGGCUAGGCAUUCUACCGAACACCUUGAAGGCAAAGAACAGUGUUUUUUCAGAAAUUUUGAAUAUUUCCCUAGGAAAAGAAUCAAUUUAAUCUAUGAAUUUGGAAGGGUUUCACUAGGGUUUGGAGUAAAGCAAAUCCUCACUAAUAUUAGGGUAAGUUAAGGAAAUACUCUAUAGUUUGAAAUUUGAGAGAAUUUGCUCAAAUUCACUAAGGUUUGGAAUAAAGGGAAUAAUUAGAGUAAAUUAAUAGGGUUCUAAAGAAGUAAUACUUGAACCAAUUUAAGAAUCAAAUAGAUUUUUAAAACACACUAAUUUAAUCAAAAGCCAGCAUGAUGCAGUCUAAUUUUAGUUUAAAAAUUUGAGGAUGUUACAUGACACCACCACCGCCGUCAGAUCCGCCGCAGGAGGGAGGCGAGAGGGGUCGGAGGGAGCCGCCGCCGCCCGGUCCGUCCUCAGCCGCCACCACCGCGGCCGGAUCCACCCACGGUCGCCGCCGACGCUGCUGUCGCCGGAUCCAUCGCGCGAGGGAGGCGAGAGAGGGGGGGAGGGGGGCGAUCGGCGCUGCUGGGGAGGGGGAGAGGUGCCGCCGGGGAAGGGGAGGGGGAUGGGAUAGGGGAGGGGGAGAGGCGCUGCCGGAGAGGGGGAGAAGGAGCGGCGGAGGAGG